CCUUAGUAACGGCGAGUGAAGCGGCAAAAGCUCAAAUUUGAAAUCUAGCACUUUCAGUGUUCGAGUUGUAAUUUGAAGAUAGUUUUCUUGACAAGUCCUUUAUCUAUGUUCCUUGGAACAGGACGUCAUAGAGGGUGAGAAUCCCGUGUGAUUUUGGAUACUUGUCUUUGUAGAAUUCUAUCGAAGAGUCGAGUUGUUUGGGAAUGCAGCUCUAAGUGGGUGGUAAAUUCCAUCUAAAGCUAAAUAUUGGCGAGAGACCGAUAGCAAACAAGUACAGUGAUGGAAAGAUGAAAAGAACUCUGAAGAGAGAGUGAAAAAGUACGUGAAAUUGCUGAAAGGGAAGGGCUUUAGGUCAGACUUGGUUUUUAACGAUUAUCUUCUCUUCUUGAGUUGUGCACUCGUUUCUUACUGGGCCAAUAUCAGUUUCUUCGGUGGAGCACCCUUUGUAAUGUGACCCUUUUCCUCUGGUUAGGGGUGUUAUAGACAUUGGACGAUUCAUUUGGGGGACUGAGGACUGCGCAUUUUUAUGCUAGGAUAUUGGCGUAAUGACCUUAAGCCGC
rnacentral:rRNA from 4 species